GAUGAACGCCAGCGGCAGGCCUAAUACAUGCAAGUCGAGGGGCAGCGGGAGUAGCAAUACUUGCCGGCGACCGGCGCACGGGUGCGUAACACGUAUACAAUCUGCCCUUAACAGGGGGAUAGCCCGGAGAAAUCCGGAUUAAUACCCCAUAACACAAGAAACGGCAUCGUUUUUUGUUGAAAGUUCCGACGGUUAAGGACGAGUAUGCGUCUGAUUAGUUAGUUGGUGAGGUAACGGCUCACCAAGACCACGAUCAGUAGGGGAUCUGAGAGGAUUAACCCCCACACGGAUACUGAGACACGGAUCCGACGCCUACGGGAGGCAGCAGUAAGGAAUAUUGGACAAUGCCCGCAAGGGUGAUCCAGCCAUGCCGCGUGCAGGAAGACGGCCCUAUGGGUUGUAAACUGCUUUUAUACAAGAGAAAACCCCCUUACGUGUAAGGGGCUGAUAGUAUUGUAAGAAUAAGCAUCGGCUAACUUCGUGCCAGCAGCCGCGGUAA
rnacentral:rRNA from 1 species